CUCUGCCCUCACGCCUGCAUCCAUGCCCAAGCGUGAGUGUGGGGUGCGCACGUGUGUGGUGUGAGUGUGCGUGUGCACGUCUGUGUGCACUCCUGUGUGUACGCGAUGCGUGUGCGCACACCCAUGUGCACACACACACACACGUGUUGCACACAGAGGCACCUGCUAACACACACAUUCCCCCUCCAGAUUCAGCAGUGACUGAGGCCCUGGGGGCGGGGAGAGCCAGGUGAGCUGGGGCCCAGUCACACCUGAGCGGCGCCCCCACCACUAACUCUCCGGCCCCCACUGUGGCAGAGCUAAGGCUCUCCGAUCAGACUGGGACACGGCUACGGCCACGGGCAGAGGCCCGGGAAUCCAGCUCUGUGUCCGCUGCUCCGUACGACGUCAGAGCUCGGGCCAGAGCCCCCUUUACAGGCUCCUCUCAGACCACCCGGAGGCCCUUGUCACCUCCCUGGAGACCACCGACCGCUCCCACAACCGCAUCCUUGCCGCCGAACUGGAAUCUGCUGUUCCGCUCUCUCCCCUGCCCGCAGCGCUCCAGGCCGGGCCAGGCCCCAGAGCGAAAUAACUGGAAAUCGUUGAAGGCGUCACGUGACUUCUAAAGCAUCACCAUGUGAAGUUCAGUCCCCGUCAUGCUUCCCUCUCAGCCGGCCACCAGCAACCACACGUUGACGGGUCUCGGGAGAACCACGGUUCCAGACACCAAGCCCGGGAGCUACCAGAAUGGUUCCACCUCUGAGU
rnacentral:lncRNA from 1 species